UAUCUGUGUUGAUCCUGCCAGUAGUCAUACUGCUCUGUUGUCUCUCAAAGAUUAAGCCAUGCAUGUCUAAGUACAAAACCUUAAUUCACGGUGAAACCGCCGAAUAACGGCCCUCAUUAAAUCAGCUAUGCGUUCCUUAGUCGUCUCAUCCUACUCGGAUAAACUUGGGAAAAUCUAGAGUAAUUAACGUGCUACAAGCCCUGACCUCACGGGCGAGGCGCAUUUUAUUAUGAACAAAACCAAUCGGCGGCUUGCCCGUCUGCUUGGGUGACUCUGGAUAACUAUUUGUGCUGAUCGCAUGGCCUCUGCGCUGGGACGUAUCUUUCAAGUGUGCGCCUAUCAACUUACAUGGUAGGUUGAUAUUUGCCUACCAUGGUGUAUAACGGGUAACGUGAAUCAGUGUGUUCGAUUCCGGAGGAGGCGAUGCUGAGUAAACGGCCUACCACAUCUAAGGAACGGCAGCAGGCGCCGCAAAUUACCCACUCCCGCACGGGGAGGGUAGUUGACGAAAAAUAACGAUUACGGACUCU
rnacentral:ncRNA from 1 species